GAAGCAGCUGCUGCUUCGCUGACGAGUGGCGGACGGGUGAGUAAUGUCUGGGAAACUGCCUGAUGGAGGGGGAUAACUACUGGAAACGGUAGCUAAUACCGCAUAACGUCGCAAGACCAAAGAGGGGGACCUUCGGGCCUCUUGCCAUCGGAUGUGCCCAGAUGGGAUUAGCUAGUAUGUGGGGUAACGGCUCACCUAGGCGACGAUCCCUAGCUGGUCUGAGAGGAUGACCAGCCACACUGGAACUGAGACACGGUCCAGACUCCUACGGGAGGCAGCAGUGGGGAAUAUUGCACAAUGGGCGCAAGCCUGAUGCAGCCAUGCCGCGUGUAUGAAGAAGGCCUUCGGGUUGUAAAGUACUUUCAGCGGGGAGGAAGGCGAUAAGGUUAAUAACCUUGUCGAUUGACGUUACCCGCAGAAGAAGCACCGGCUAACUCCGUGCCAGCAGCCGCGGUAAUACGGAGGGUGCAAGCGUUAAUCGGAAUUACUGGGCGUAAAGCGCACGCAGGCGGUCUGUCAAGUCGGAUGUGAAAUCCCCGGGCUCAACCUGGGAACUGCAUUCGAAACUGGCAGGCUAGAGUCUUGUAGAGGGGGGUAGAAUUCCAGGUGUAGCGGUGAAAUGCGUAGAGAUCUGGAGGAAUACCGGUGGCGAACGCGGCCCCCUGGACAAAGACUGACGCUCAUGUGCGAAAGCGUGGAGAGCAAACAGGAUUAGAUACCCUGGUAGUCCACGCCGUACACGAUGUCGACUUGGAGGUUGUGCCCUUGACGCGUGUCUUCCGGAGCUAACGCGUUAAGUCGACCGCCUGGAGAGUACGGCCGCAGGUUAACACUCAAAUGAAUUGACGGGCGCCCGCACAAGCGGUGGAGCAUGUGGUUUAAUUCGAUGCAACGCGAAGACCUUACCUACUCUUGACAUCCAGAGAACUUACCAGAGAUGCUUUGGUGCCUUCGGGAACUCUGAGACAGUGCUGCAUGGCUGUCUCAUCUCGUGUUGUGAAAUGUUGGUUAACUCCCGCAACGAGCGCAACCCUUAUCCUUUGUUGCCAGCGGUUCGGCCGGGAACUCAAAGGAGACUGCCAGUGAUAACUGGAGGAAGGUGGGGAUGACGUCAAGUCAUCAUGGCCCUUACGAGUAGGGCUACACACGUGCUACAAUGG
rnacentral:rRNA from 1 species